AUUGAGCCUUGAUGUGUAGGAUAGGUGGGAGGCUUUGAAGUGUGGACGCCAGUCUGCAUGGAGCCGGCCUUGAAAUACCACCCUUUAAUGUUUGAUGUUCUAACGUUGGCCCCUGAUCGGGGUUGCGGACAGUGUCUGGUGGGUAGUUUGACUGGGGCGGUCUCCUCCUAAAGAGUAACGGAGGAGCACGAAGGUUGGCUAAUCCUGGUCGGACAUCAGGAGGUUAGUGCAAUGGCAUAAGCCAGCUUGACUGCGAGCGUGACGGCGCGAGCAGGUGCGAAAGCAGGUCAUAGUGAUCCGGUGGUUCUGAAUGGAAGGGCCAUCGCUCAACGGAUAAAAGGUACUCCGGGGAUAACAGGCUGAUACCGCCCAAGAGUUCAUAUCGACGGCGGUGUUUGGCACCUCGAUGUCGGCUCAUCACAUCCUGGGGCUGAAGUAGGUCCCAAGGGUAUGGCUGUUCGCCAUUUAAAGUGGUACGCGAGCUGGGUUUAGAACGUCGUGAGACAGUUCGGUCCCUAUCUGCCGUGGGCGCUGGAGAACUGAGGGGGGCUGCUCCUAGUACGAGAGGACCGGAGUGGACGCAUCACUGGUGUUCGGGUUGUCAUGCCAAUGGCACUGCCCGGUAGCUAAAUGCGGAAGAGAUAAGUGCUGAAAGCAUCUAAGCACGAAACUUGCCCCGAGAUGAGUUCUCCCUGACUCCUUGAGAGUCCUGAAGGAACGUUGAAGACGACGACGUUGAUAGGCCGGGUGUGUAAGCGCAGCGAUGCGUUGAGCUAACCGGUACUAAUGAACCGUGAGGCUUAACCUUACAACGCCGAAG
rnacentral:rRNA from 1 species